rnacentral:pre_miRNA from 1 species
UGGGGCUGUCGGUGCACGGCUCGCAAAUAAAAGUAGUGUCGUUGCGCCGGAAGCCCCGGGGGC